AGAGUUUGAUCAUGGCUCASAACSAACGCUGGCGGCMGGCUUAACACAUGCAAGUCSAACSCCCCGCAAGGGGAGUGGCMGACSGGUGAGUAACGCGUGGGAAUCUACCGUACCCUACGGAAUAACSCAUGGAAACSUGUGCUAAUACCGUAUACGCCCUACGGGGGAAAGAUUUAUCGGGGUAUGAUGAGCCCGCSUUGGAUUAGCUAGUUGGUGGGGUAAAGGCCUACCMAGGCGACGAUCCMUAGCUGGUCUGAGAGGAUGAUCAGCCMCAUUGGGACUGAGACACGGCCCAAACUCCUACSGGAGGCAGCMGUGGGGAAUAUUGGACAAUGGGCGCMAGCCUGAUCCAGCCAUGCCGCGUGAGUGAUGAAGGUCUUAGGAUUGUAAAGCUCUUUCMCCSGAGAAGAUAAUGACGGUAUCCGGAGAAGAAGCCC
rnacentral:rRNA from 1 species